rnacentral:rRNA from 1 species
UUUUAUGAGAGUUUGAUCCUGGCUCAGGACGAACGCUGGCGGCGUGCCUAAUACAUGCAAGUCGAACGCUUCUUUUUCCACCGGAGCUUGCUCCACCGGAAAAAGAGGAGUGGCGAACGGGUGAGUAACACGUGGGUAACCUGCCCAUCAGAAGGGGAUAACACUUGGAAACAGGUGCUAAUACCGUAUAACAAUCGAAACCGCAUGGUUUUGAUUUGAAAGGCGCUUUCGGGUGUCGCUGAUGGAUGGACCCGCGGUGCAUUAGCUAGUUGGU